ensembl:lncRNA
CAUAGGAAGGCAUUUGCGGAAGGCACUCAUUCACGUACCAUCUAUAUAUGUAUAUUUUUAUACACACAUAGAUAGGCACAUGCACACUUGAGUUAUAACAGAUCUGUGGGAAAUACUGAACAAAAAAUAGAUGUUCAAAGCAUGUAUUUCUAAAUUGCUAUAUUAGCGUUAUACACAGAAGACAAUAGAAACGUCAUACUAAAAAUAUAUCAAUAUGAAGACUGUGUCCUGGAUGCUGAUCAUGAAAUUCCAGUGAAUGUUCAUCCUGCGUUGCUGAAGUAGCGUACAGUUAAGAUACCAGUGAUUCUGACAGUAUUUGACUUGCACCAGGAAAAGAAACAAGCAAUGUCACAGACAGCUGAAGAGAUUUUUUUUAGAAAAUAUAUGGUUGCUGGAGGCCACGAUUCUGGUGAGAGUGUGCUCCUGCACCAUUUGAACUGCCAACUGAUGCUGAAUGGAAGCAACUUACAUGGAGGAGAUAUGUAUAAUUUCCUGAAGGAAACAGAACAUCCAAAUAUUUGUCUUGGUUAAUAAGAGAAGACAGAGGAAUAAUGAAGAGGGUUUUCACAAAGUGAUAUGCUGGGAAGAUGAGCGUAAUGCAUUUUUUCUCUGUAAGUCUCUGAUGUCCUUGCCCAAGUUCAGAUGGGCUGAAAAUGCACCACUUUUGACUCAAGGCACAUUUGAACAAACUGCUACCAGACAGACACAAGAGUUGUAAACCUGAUAUCAGAAGAACAGUCUCUCUGCAUUUGAUGAUUACAAUGGGCAAAGAGUGCCUGAGGGUAUCAGACAGGGAAGAAACCUAAGCUCUCUUUUUUUGUUGUUGUUUGUUUUGGUUUUGGUUUGUUCUCUCUCCUUUCUUUUCUUUUCUUUUCUUUUCUUUUCUUUUCUUUUCUUUUCUUUUCUUUUCUUUUCUUUUCUUUUCUUUUCUUUUCUUUUCUUUUCUUUUCUUUUCUUUUCUUUUCUUUUCUUUUCUUUUCUUUUCUUUUCUUUUCUUUUCUUUUCCUUUCUUUUCUUUUCUUUUCUCUUCUUUUCUCUUCUUUUCCUUUCUCUUCUCUUCUUUUCUCUUCUCUUCUUUUCUCUUCUCUUCUCUUCUUUUCUCUUCUCUUCUCUUCUUUUCUUUCCUUUUCUUUCCUUUUCUUUCCUUUUCUUUCCUUUUCUUUCUUCUUUUCUUCUUUUUUUUUAAUGGAUGCUUUAUCUACACUACAGAAGAAAGGAGAGUUAUGGGUUCAAACAAAUACCAUGUCUGAGCUCCUUCGUGCAACUUGUCGUCUAAGUUCAACUUUCCUCUAAAUCAGCUAUUUAUGUGAUCUCCUAAUGGUGGGUUUAGAGAUAAGAGCAGAAUGUAGAACAACGGUUUUUUGUUUGGUUUUUUUUUUAAGAAUGCCUGUCUUUUUUUAUUUCUAAAUUUUAUUCUUACUUUUUAUACUAGGUUCUAAAGGCACACGUCCAUAAAAUGCCAUCAAAUAAAAUUUUAUUUGUAGAUAUUAUAGAAAGUCUAUCUGUAAAAGUGUUUUCUGAGAGCAUUAGUACAUUAUUGCCCAAUCCAAGCUGACCAGCAAUUCUUCUCAGAAAAUGUGCCACAUUUGGUACACAUGUGCAUGUUUACAUGGACACAUGAAAAAGCCCAUACCAUGAGAAGGCUGAGUGCAUGCCAGCUCUGCCUGAAAGCUUUAUGGCCCUAUUAGUAGGAAGUGCUCCAAAGCUGAAAUACCCUUCCUUGUGUAAUUAACUCUCUCUGCCGUGGAGGUGGACUCAUGUUAAAGAAUGAUCUAUGAUCCUGCAGAUUUUCCUAAGAUUAUUGUUUUGGACUGAUGACAGUGCCUAAAGAAACACAUGAUAUCAUUUCCUUCAAAUUCCUUAUAAAAGUUUGUUCAAAUAUUUAUUAAAGAAUUGCAGGGCAAGCAUUUUCACAGCUAAUGUGAAAUCUCUUUGAUUUCACUUCUCAUCAAAAAUGUUGCAGUUAAUCAAACAUCAGGAACAGCACCAUAUGUUUAAUCUCAAUAAAAUUAGAGAAUAAUUUUGUAUGGAACAAAAAGAACAAAGACAUAGUCAAUGCAACUGUCCUAAUUCAGACUGCAAUGUUACCAGGACAAGAGCCUCUAUUCCAACAGGUCAGUAACAUACUUAUGACACCUUUUCCCUGAGUAUGGCUCAGACUUCUGUUUUCUACUACAAUACAGGAUAUAUUUGUUGGGAAAAAAAAGAUCACAAAACUCAGAGCAUGGCCUUGUCUGUUUCCGUAGUAAAUACAUAAAUUAUACAAGUUUCUUCUAUUUUUGAAAUAUUUUCCAAAGUUGAUAAUGAAAGAAUAAAUUAAAUCAUUUAUUGCAUAAAUUCACAAAAGACCAUUUUGCUUCAUAUGACACUUAGACUAAAAAAGUAUACAUUUUUAGAUCCUUGUUUCAGCCUUUGUAUUUAGAGUAAAUGAUCAAUCAGUACAGACGUGAGUAAAAAUCAAUAAAACAAAUACAUUUUCCUUGUGACUUGUCCAAAGGUUGUGAUUUAGUUGUAGUGCAACUUAAGUUGUUGGCCCUGUUACAUCAUGUACGACACUGUAACGUCUUUUUUUUUUUUUUUUUUUUUUAAAUUGAGGAAGGAGUAUGUAGCUCAAAAACCAAAGAGGAAGGGAUUUAAAAAUCCUAAGACCCCCCUAAAAAAAACAGUUUUCUGUUAAUGGGCUUUAUUACACCCAUUUUCCAACUGUAUCUUGAUCUGAAGCCCACUGAGGUACGCAAAUCUCUUUCCAUUGGCUAGUCAGCAUUGAAACAGGUUUUUGAAAUUUUAUAUGGUUAAAAUAUAGCAAUAAAACCUACAUAUGUGAAACAUUCACCAGAUGCAUUCCUCAUAUGGUGUUUCUCUUGAUGACAAUGACAUUUUCAUGCACAGAAUGCAUGCAGAAGUACUGCAUAGAGCAGAAAUAACUCACUCCAAACAGUCAAUCCAAAACUCAAUAACUCAAUCGAAACUGUCCUCAAACUAUUCAUCAAGCAGUAAGAUUUUUAAAAAGUCAUCCUUUCACGGAGAACAUUCUUUUUUAAGAGAAUUCUCUAAAGGCAAGAUCUCAAAGACCAAGCUCACUGAGUUAGUCUAAUCUUUGCUGUAUGUGGAUUAAUGUAUGUGUAUUCAUCAGUUUGUAUACACCAAGUGGAAAAGGUCUCCUCCUAAAAUCAGUUGUAGCUCUUGGCCUGGGAAGACUGGCUAAGGGCAAAGGGAGAGGGAGAGAGAUUUUGUUACCACAGGCACAAAAAAUUCUGGCACCACUGCUUGCAACCGCAGGACAGAUCAGAGUAAUGAUAGUUUACAUUUUUUAAAUUUCCAGGAGGACAUAUUUAGCAUCCUAUGGGCUUAUCACUUAAAAAUAUAUGCCAUUCACUCCUUAAAUAAAAUUCCUAUUUUUAAUAACUUAUGCUUUGACCUUUCAGAAUAGACAAUGUUAUAAUAAAUUAACCCUAAUGCCUUCCUUAAAUAUCCUCUAAAAUGUUGCCUACUUCAGUGAUAAAAAUAGGAUCCAGAUUUUGAAGAUGUCCCAAGUGAAGUAGCAAGCGGCAUCUGUUGAAAUCAGAAUGUAUUGGACAUAAAUUGCUGUAUGCCUCAUUAAUGCCAGUCCCCACCAAACAGAUCACUAAAUAUGCAUUCACUGAUUCCAGAAGUGUCCAAAAAAAGCCAGCCUGGGGAAAGGGAGAGGUAUGCAUGUUCCUGGGAUCUGUUUUUGCCCUGUCAUUCCACAAUGCAGAAUAGGGCUAAUGUAGUUAUCUUGUCAGCUGAGAGACAGAGAUUCUGGAAGCAAUUUGGAGUUUUACUGCCUGCUGAAGACCAAAACUGAAACUUGUUUUCCAAGCAACUGAUCACAGAAUCAUAGAAUGGCCUGGGUUGAAAAGGACCACAGUGAUUGUCUAGUUUCAACCCCCCCUGCUAUGUGCAGGGUUGCCAACCACUAGACCAGGCUGCCCAGAGCCACAUCCAACCUGGCCUUGAAUGCCUUCAGGGAUGGGGCAUCCCCAGUCUCCUUGGGCAAACUCUUCCAGUGCAUCACCACCCCCUGGGUGAAAAACUUCCUCCUAAUAUCUAACCUAAACCUCCCCUGUCUCAGUUUAAAACCAUUCCCCCUUGUCCUGUCACUAUCCACCCUCGUAAACAGUCAUUCUCCCUCCUGUUGAUAUGCUCCCUUCAAGUACUGGAAGGCCAGUGAUGAGAGGAUUCAGUAAGAUGAGGCAUGCAGGUACAAAUUUCCUGUUUCAAAAUAUUUUUAUACCAAAUAAAUUAUUUUUUUCUAGCUCUGGUAAGAGGAGCUGAAACAGAGGAACUCAGCAGGAAAGGGAUUUUAGCUAGGCGUGGGGGUGACUUGGGUCCAAACUCUGCAAUACACAGAUGAGAAUUUGUGUAACUCUCACCUUGUAGAAUUGUUUCAUUUUUAGUGUUGAGCACAGAAGCGUACCCUGGCUAUGUAUUUUGCUGUACUUUGGCAUGUUUAGAGGAUUGAGCUGAAGAUACCCUAAUUAGAGAUUUCUGAUUUAGCUUGAACAUAAACAGCUUCUGUAUGCAUUUGUAUUUGUGCUUUAAAUAGCUUUUUGAGUAAAAAGUAUGCCAAGACUCUGAAAACUGGAGUCUGGGCUAGAUGAUAUCACUUUGUUUGUUUGUUUGUUUUAUAGAUUUCCAAUCUGUAAAAAUCUGCAAUGCAUUUUGGACAACAGUUGUUUACCGUACCAUAGUGCGGUACUGAAUUUGGAAGAAUGCACAGAAGACUUUAAAAUUUCACAUGACACAGAUUCUUGCAACAACUAGAACUUGCAUUCCUGAGGAGUUAUCUGCCCCAUCAAUUAAAGACCCUUUGUGUAGGCUGAGCCAUUGGUGGCAUUUCUUCCCAGGAGAUUAUAUGAAAGAGGCAUUUUAUGUCUUUGCUGCAGACUUUCUGCCUCACUCUGCCUGGAGCAGGCAGAGAAUUGAAAAGGAUGUGCCCCAUACAUGUAAAAUAUAUACAAGGGCUGCUCCAAAAAUAAUGCCUCCCAUUUAUUAUGUUGGCCCACAAUGUCAGAGGUGGAUGUUGGUGGUAUGGAAGCAGAGAUUGAACCUUCUCACGAACAUUCUGUUACAUGUUGUUGUUUUGCGACAGAUGGCGGCAGAGGGGCAGUCUGACAAAAUGGCGUCUGAUAUGGAAGUGUGUAUGGAACAAAGGCACCUCACUGAAUUCCUCCGUGGAAAAAAUGGCACCCAUUGACAUCCAUUGAUGUUUGCUGAACGUUGAUGGAGACCAAAUAGUGGAUAUGAGCUCAGAGAGGCAGUGGGUGGGUGGUGAGUUUCAACACUGGUGACAGCAACAGUGGGUCACCUCCGCUGGCACAGAUUUUUACAAGCGUGACAUGCGUGCUCAUCUUCAUCUCGGGUGAAAAUGCAUAAAAUAGUGUUAUUGUCUUUUUGGUAUGUGUGGUAGUUUGCAUGUAAAUAAAUGGGAGGCAUUAUUUUCAGAGCAGCCUGAAACUUCAGGAAAUUUUAGUAACAAGUAAUUAUGAAAUAAAAGAAUACUACUCACAUGAACAUGGUAGAGGUAAGAGAAAAUUGGUAAUCACUGAGGAGGGAAAUAUAGAAUAUAAAAAUCUUUGGCAUUAUGUCUUUGGCUUGUUUGGCUACUUGGUAUUAGAGGUUUCAGCACAUUAGCUUUUAUAGAACAAAUACAUUCUGUGAAGGGAUCUGUUCCAUUAAAAGGCUCCUAUUAUGAACUGACCUGCUACAAUCAUACAGAUGCAGUCUUUCACAUUAUCCUGAACUGAAUAAAUAUCAAUCAUUUUCUUUACUUUGAAAAAUCACAGUUAUUCCUCUAUUUUAACAGUCCCCUUACUUUAACAGUCUAGUCCCCGUUUAGUUUAACAGUCCCCAUACUGCAAGUCAUUUUUAGUUAUUCUGAUGAGUCAUAGCCAGCAUAUUAUUCUGCAGCAUUUCACUCCAUUUUCUUUUUUGCUAGAACUUUGCCUAGAGUAACUUUGGCCCAGUUAGUCCUUGAUUUGUCCCAUCCAAAACUCAAGCUUAUAACUGACAUAGGAAAUUAAUAACUUUAGGCUUCCUGAAUAUGUUAUAGGCACCUUAAAAAUGUAAAUUCAUGUUGAUGCACCCCAGUGCUGCAUAUUCCCAGUUCAGUGAGUACUGAAAAAGCUUCAAGUGAUAGCUCAGAUAGAGAUACCUCAAGAGGGAUUAAUUCAGAUCCUGAUUUCUUUAAAUCAGUUCUAAAUGCUUACUUUUAAAAUUAAACUAACUUUCAUACAGAUGCAUACAGAAAAUUUACCAGUGCAACUGGUAAAUACCAGGCAGAUUUGAGGUUCAUUAUCAUAGAAUCAUAGAAUCAUAGAAUGGUCUGGGUUGAAAAGGACCACAAUGAUCAUCUAGUUUCAACCCCCCUGCUGUGUGCAGGCUUGCCAACCACUAGACCAGGCUGCCCAGAGCCACAUCCAGCCUGGUCUUGAAUGCCUCCAGGGAUGGGGCAUCCCCAGUCUCCUUGGGCAACCUGUUCCAGUGCGUCACCACCCUCUAG